AGAACACAAGACACACCUGCUCUUAGAAGAAGGCCAGGGAUUGGUCCCAGCAUAAAAAUGACACCUGGGCAGUGCUCCAAGGUGUACCUGAAAACCUAGAUGUUUUGUAGGAAUAGUUUCUUCGCUUCAGGAGCUUUUGGAGAUUGUGUUUCUUCUCGUGCUUGAGAUUCCAUUACUACUGUCUAUGCAUCUUCAUCAGGUACCUUCAGACUGGUUCGAGAGGUCUGGCCUAACAUGGAAGGAGCAAUCAUACCUUUAACAAGUGGAAGGACCAGGAAGUGAUCUUCCUCAGCUAAAGCGACGCUGCGACACAAUGGCAUCUCUUGUCCAUGUCUCCAUACUGAAUGACGGCAACAGGAAUUCAUGGGGUAUUCUACGAUGGAAUGUGCAAAGAAAAGCCCAAAUGUUUUAUGUGAUUUAAACAAGUAAAUAAUAAAGGGGAGAUAUAAAUAAAACAGACUGAUGGGACAACUUGUAUGACAAAUCUAUGGAAAAUAAAAAAAGAUAAAUUUAUAUGGAAAAUAUAUCUGCAGGCAUGACUCAGUAAAUCAUUUGGUUGUAUUCUGAAUGGGAAGAAGGAAAUAAUGCAUUUUCUAUUAAUUUAGUAAUUUCAGGGGCAUGUUUACCCAGAAAUGAAAAUUCUGUCAUCUUUUACUCGCCUUCAUGUCGUUCCAAACCUGUAUGAGACACGCGAUCACAGAAAGAAGAUAUUUUGAAGAAUAUUGCAGCUGUUUUUGUCCAUAUAAAACAUAAACUGACAAAAGUUGUCUCAAAAAUCCAUUUGGAUGUUGAUGCUUGGUUCUGACAGUGACUCUUUGAACCUCUGCUUGCACUUUAUCCUUUACUAAUAGACCCUUUAAACAGUUUCCUUCAAGAUCUUUCUCCUGAAAAAAUAACCACUUUAAUUCUGUCAUUCUGCUUUCAUCUCUUCUACAGUCACAUGACAUCAGACCAUUUCCUCUGCAGUAAAAUCCUCUGAUUUGUGUCUUACCAGGCAAGUUUAGAUGUUGAUACU
rnacentral:lncRNA from 1 species